CGGGGUUUCACCGUGUUAGCCAGGAUGGUCUUGCACUCCUGACCUCGUCCACCCUCCUUCUCCUCCCAAAGUGCUGGGAUUACAUGCGUGAGCCACCGCGCCUGGCCCUGGUGCCCUUUUAAAAACAGGAAGAGGGAGAGAGUGAUCUUGCUCUAGCAACACAUGAGAAGAGGCAACGAACCAAUUGAUGCUGAAAUGGAUAGAAGUAGCACGAGUGAAAACUGAAGCAGAGGCAUCAGGAAGACGCAUCCUCAGAAGCUGUAAGACAGCAUGGCGUGGGAGACGGCCCCUCUGUUUCGUCUCCUCAAGUUCCGUGGCAGACUAGUAAGACUGAGUUUGACACCUUGGGAGAGACACGUCUGCCAAGUUUGUCAUCCAUUAAAUUCACAUUAAAUGAUAAGAGUUGACCACA
rnacentral:lncRNA from 10 species